AUGGCCUCCAUCGCCUUGCGAGAGGAGUUCUACCUCGGCGGGUACUCAAAAACACCUGAUAUCAUAAUAACUAAGACGAACUUUCUUCGUCUUCUCAUUCCUAACUCUUUUCUCUCUCUUCUCCAUCGGAUGCAGUAUCAUCGGUGCCGUAUUCAUCAUAGCCGGACUGUACCUGGUGCUGUGGGGGAAGAGCGAAGAGAGAGCCUUCGCUGCAAAGGAAGCGGCCCUCACGGCCUCAUCCACCCCCGACCACGAUGGUCUCAGAGCUACUACCGGUGCUGCUUCCUUCAAGGCUUCCUCUCUGAAGCAGCCACUCCUGCC
rnacentral:lncRNA from 1 species